GCCCGGCUAGCUCAAUCGGUAGAGCGUGAGACUCUUACUGUAGGGAUCUCAAGGCUGUGGGUUCGACCCCCACGUUGGGCG